UCCCUUUUCAGAGGCUGCAGAAGAUGAUCCAUUACCAGCUAUAGAGGGCCUCCAAAUUUCAGGUGAUGCAUUUCCUGGUAAGGAACUGCAGGCUUGUGGAUACUCCAUUAAUGGAACAACCAGCUGCAACUUUGAGUGGGUACGUCAUUUAGAAGAUGGGUCGAUUAGUUAUAUUGAAGUAU